UGGUCUUUUCCUUCAAGCUGGUGAUGGAGUCUUUGGCGCGGACCAAUCCACUGUUGACCCCACUCUGGGGAAGAAUGGGAGACAGGGCUGUCUUGGACCAGCAGAUAGAGGACACAAUGAAACAGAAGAAGCCUGAAUCCUUGACAUGGAGCCACCAUACUCCAUUCCAACCACCUGUGAAGACUUUCAGGAACUGGCAAAGCCGUGAAAGCAUCUCUGAUAGUUGAAGGAAAGAUCUGGAUGUUUGUCCUCUCCAAAUCUCAUGUUAAAAAUGUCAUCCCUUGCCAGGCACAGUGGCUCACACCUGUAAUCCCAGCACUUUGGGAGGCUGAGGCAGGAGGUUCACUUGAGCUCAGGAGUUUGAGAGCAGCCUGGACAACAUGGUGAGACCCCAUCUCUACAAAAAAAAAAAAAAAAAAAUACAAAAAGUAGCCAGGUGUGGUGGUGUGCACCUGUAGUCCCAGCUCCUCAGGAGGCUGAGGUUGAAGAAUUGCUUGAACCUGGGAGGUGGAUGUUGCAAUGAGCCGAGAUUGCGCCACUGCACUCCAGUCUGGAUGACACUGAGAUCCUGUCUCAAAAACAACAACAAAAUGUAACUCCCAGGCUGAGCACGGUGGUUCACACCUAUAAUCCCAGCACUCUGGGAGGCCAAGGUGGGCAGAUCACCUGAGGUCAGGAAUUCAAGACUAGCCUGGCCAACAUGGCGAAAGCCCGACUCUACUGAAAAUACAAAAAUUCGCCAGGAAUAGUGAUGCAUGCCUGUAGUCCCAGCUACUCGGGAGGCUGAGGCAGGAGAAUCGCUUGAACCCGGGAGGUGGAGGUCGCAGUGAACCGAGAUCAUGCCACUGCUCUCCAGCCUGGGCGACAGAGCAAAACUCCAUCUCAAAAAAAAAAAACAAAAAACUUGUGUGGCAUCUCCUUGCUCGUGCUCUUGCCAGGUGAUAUGCUGGCUCCAUCACCUUUUGCUAUGAGGCCCUCACCAAAAGCUGAGCAGAUGUUGGCACCAUGUUUAUCAGAUAGCCUGUGAACCAUAAGCCAAUUAAACCUCUUUUAUUUAUACCCAGCCUCGAGUAUUCCUUUAUAGCAAUGCAAGAAUGGACUAACAUGGAGUGGGAGAGGGAACAUUUGUAAAGAAAAAAAAAAUUUACGCUUGUUUUAAUGUUGCUACUGCCGAAGGCAAUGGAUAACAGUUGGGGUAAACAAUAAAAAGCAAAAAAUCUUAAAAGGAAAAUCUGAUGGACAUAUCUGUAGAAGCCUUGAAAUGUUCCAACAAAUUCCUGGGAAUGUAGAAAGCCAUUGGCCUGUGUAGGGUUGUGUACAUGCUUGGGAAAGUUCUGAGAAGGCCCCAAGCUUUUCACCUCUGGCUGACCUUGAAACUUUGAAACGCUGCACAAGCAGGAAGGGAAGGCUAAGGUAGAGUUGUAAAUUGUCUGAGUGUUAAAGGUGUGCCUCAUCAGGCACACAGAGUGCCAUUUGGCAAAGACUAGAAGAUUUUGUUGUUGUUCCAGUUUAAGGAAAUGUCUCUCCAAUCAUUAGCUAACCACUAAAAUUAGAGAACAGAGACUUCAGUGGCCAAACAUGACAAAGAACACAGAUAUUACAGAAAUAGUUCAGAAAAGUCUGUUUUUUAAAAAGCAACUACAGGCCAGGUGCAGUAGCUCACACCUGUAAUUCCAACAAUUUGGGAGGAUGAGGUGGGAGGACUGCUUGAGCCCAGAAGUUCAAGACCAGCCUGAGCAACAUAGUAAAACCUAAUCCCUUAAAAAAUAGUAAUAAAAUAGGCGGGGUGUGUUGGCUCAUGCCUGUAAUCCCAGCACUUUGGGAGGCCGAGGCAGGUGGAUCACGAGGUCAGGAGAUCGAGACCAUCCUGGCUAACAUGGUGAACCCCGUCUCUACUAAAAAAUACAAAAAAUUAGCUGGACGUGGUGGCGGGCGCCUGUAGUC